rnacentral:rRNA from 1 species
GACGGGGGCCCGCACAAGCGGAGGAACAUGUGGUUUAAUUCGAUGAUACGCGAGGAACCUUACCUGGGCUUAAAUGUAGAUUGCAUGAGGUGGAAACACUUCUUCCCUUCGGGGCUAUUUACAAGGUGCUGCAUGGUUGUCGUCAGCUCGUGCCGUGAGGUGUCGGGUUAAGUCCCAUAACGAGCGCAACCCUUAUCGUUAGUUGCCAGCGGGUAGAGCCGGGGACUCUAGCGAGACUGCCACCGUAAGGUGAGAGGAAGGUGGGGAUGACGUCAAAUCAGCACGGCCCUUAUGUCCAGGGCUACACACGUGUUACAAUGGCCGAUACAAAGGGCAGCUACUUCGCGAGAAGAUGCUAAUCUCUAAAAGUCGGUCCCAGUUCGGAUUGGAGUCUGCAACCCGACUCCAUGAAGUUGGAUUCGCUAGUAAUCGCGCAUCAGCCAUGGCGCGGUGAAUACGUUCCCGGGCCUUGUACACACCGCCCU